CAGCCCGCCGCGUCCCGGCGCUCAGCCUCCGCUCCAGAGGCGAGCGCUGCGCUUCGGGCGCCGCAAUCUCCAGGACACGGCCUCGCGGACACCUUCCGCCUCGGGGAAUCGGCAGCAUAGGCGGCGCGAACGGCCGCCGCCGCCUCGGCUCCUCUCUCGAGUCCUUCCCGUCACCUCGCUGAGAGCCGGUCCUGGUCGCGGGGACAUCUCUCUCCUUCCUCCGAGGCUCGUGGGACCAACGGACGGACGCAGCCAGCGAGGGCCGGACUGCGGGACGCGGCCAGAGCAGUUGAACAUCAGAUACCCAGAGUGACAUCAGGUUAAAAAAAAGCCUGCAAUUUGGAUCUUUUCCUGACUCGGAAGCAAGGAAAAUGGACAAUUGAUAAUCAAAGGCUAAAUCUCUUCUGGGAUCCACUGAAUGCCACUAGAGGGUCUGCUCGAGAGAAUUCCUGAUUGAAUGACAACGGCGCUAAGAACAGUAAGUCAUGGUUGGGAAGCAGUAAGGGAAGAAUGGAGCCCAGAUAUCCUAAAUUAAAAUAUAAAAGGCUAACGUUAUUAGGCAUGUACAUCUAAAUUUCAAAGUAAAAGGCCAACAUCCCACUACGCCUCCCGAAUCCAGCACAUUCCACCUUUCCACCUAACACACGCGCGCACACACACACACACACACACACACACACACACACCCUUCCCUCUGAGGCAAUUAAUGGACCCAAACUGACUUUUUUAUGGAACCAUAAUAUAGAAAGAAAUGCCUGUGCCGAAAAUGUCAAUGCACACAAUAAUUUAUCAGAAAUCAAUGCUCUAUUCUAUGUCCCCAAGCUCAACACUAACAUUGUAACCUCUUAAAUGUGCCUUGUUGUCUGCAGCUUGAAUUCCUUUGUGGUUUCACAUACGUUAUUUGGAUGAAGGCUGAAACUCUCACACACUGGUUAUUAUAGACUGUGCAGUUGAAAUUAAUAGAAUAGAGACGCCCUCUGUCUGAUGAGUCACUAUUUUUCCUCUUCUGACUCAUAGUUUUUCUUUUUUGUUUUUUUCACAUUAUUGAUCAGUGAAUAGUCUAGUAAUCUAAUUCAUGUGUAUUUCAGGGCUAAAAAUGGAACACUAACCUUGAAUGGGGAAAGCGGCUGAAUGAUGUUAACAUCCCGGUAAAGAACAGGUUAAUUCGGAAGGGAAGGGGGAAGAAGGGACUCCCCGGAGAGCAGGAGGAAGGCAGAGGGCCUCGGGGGUAGCUGUUCCCCGAGUGAUUAGGUACUUAUAUCAUGUGCUCUGUCAUAUCCAGGAAACAGG
rnacentral:lncRNA from 10 species